UACGUAGGUGGCGAGCGUUGUCCGGAUUUACUGGGCGUAAAGCGCGCGUAGGCGGACCUGCAAGUCGGGGGUGAAAGCCCGAGGCUCAACCUCGGAACUGCCUUCGAUACUGCGGGUCUCGAGUCCGGGAGAGGUGAGUGGAAUUCCUAGUGUAGAGGUGAAAUUCGUAGAUAUUAGGAAGAACACCAGUGGCGAAGGCGACUUCCUGGCCUGUUCUUGACGCUGAGGCGCGAAAGCUAGGGUAGCAAACGGG
rnacentral:rRNA from 1 species